rnacentral:rRNA from 1 species
CAGUCGCCACGGUAAUACGUAGGGCGCAAGCGUUAUCCGGAAUUAUUGGGCGUAAAGAGCUCGUAGGCGGUUUGUCGCGUCUGCCGUGAAAGUCCGGGGCUCAACCCCGGAUCUGCGGUGGGUACGGGCAGACUAGAGUGAUGUAGGGGAGACUGGAAUUCCUGGUGUAGCGGUGAAAUGCGCAGAUAUCAGGAGGAACGCCGAUGGCGAAGGCAGGUCUCUGGGCAUUAACUGACGCUGAGGAGCGAAAGCAUGGGGAGCGAACAGGAUUAGAUACCCCUGUAGUCCCUGUCUCUUAUAC